UACGUAGGGUGCAAGCGUUGUCCGGAAUUAUUGGGCGUAAAGAGCUCGUAGGCGGCUUGUCACGUCGACUGUGAAAACCCGGGGCUCAACUCCGGGCCUGCAGUCGAUACGGGCUGGCUUGAGUGCGGUAGGGGAGACUGGAAUUCCGGGUGUAGCGGUGGAAUGCGUAGAGAUCUGCAAGAACACCCGUGGCGAAGGCGGCCGACUGGGCCGGAUCCGACGCUGAGGCGCGAAAGCGUGGGGAGCAAACAGG
rnacentral:rRNA from 1 species